rnacentral:rRNA from 1 species
UGAGGAAUAUUGGUCAAUGGGCGAGAGCCUGAACCAGCCAAGUAGCGUGCAGGAUGACGGCCCUAUGGGUUGUAAACUGCUUUUAUGUGGGGAUAAAGUGCGUGACGUGUCAUGCAUUGCAGGUACCACAUGAAUAAGGACCGGCUAAUUCCGUGCCAGCAGCCGCGGUAAUACGGAAGGUCCGGGCGUUAUCCGGAUUUAUUGGGUUUAAAGGGAGCGUAGGCUGUCUAUUAAGCGUGUUGUGAAAUUUACCGGCUCAACCGGUGGCUUGCAGCGCGAACUGGUCGACUUGAGUAUGCAGGAAGUAGGCGGAAUUCAUGGUGUAGCGGUGAAAUGCUUAGAUAUCAUGACGAACUCCGAUUGCGCAGGCAGCUUACUGGAGCAUAACUGACGCUGAUGCUCGAAAGUGCGGGUAUCAAACAGG